rnacentral:tRNA from 1 species
GCUCUAGUAGCUUAAACGCCUAAAGCGCCGGUCUUGUAAUCCGGAAAUCGAAGGUUAAAAUCCUUCCUAGCGCC